UUGGGUAGAAGGAACGCCAUUGAUGAAAAUGAAAUCAAUGGAAGCCAAGCCCCUCCUAUUCCUCUUCCUCUCCAAUCCAUCAAAAUCCAUUACCAUCUCUCCUUUCUCGCACCAGUUGUUUGCAUUGUUUUCUUCUUCAAUUGAUAUACCAAAACUCUCCACCAAUUCGGAAGUAGUAACAACAUUGACACAAGAAGAAGUAACCAAAAUCAACCUUCUAAUCCCACGUUUAUGUCUAUUAAACCACUUAACCACCGCAAUCCAAUUAAUCACAACCUCUCUCCUCGCUAACCCACCUCCAAAGUCCCUUUCUUUUUCCAUUCUCACUCACUCUCUCACUUCCCAACCAGACAUGACCAAACCCAUGUCACUUCUCACCAUUCUUAGGCACACCCCACAAGCACAUUCACAUCUUUCACCUAUGAACACCAUGCUUAUCACUUCAUAUAUAAAAAAGAAGAGACCCAAAGAGGCCUUGAAAGUGUACAAUUGGAUGCUUAGGCCUGGCUCUCCAUGUAAAGUUGAAAAGAUUGUAUUUUGUGUUUUGGUUAAUGGGUUGUGUGAGAUUGGUUGGGUUCUUGAGGGUUUGAAGGUUUUGAAAGACAUGGUCAGUGUGGGGUUUUUGCCUAUUGGUGGGUUAAAGGAAAGGGUCUAUAGGAGUUUGUUGAGCGAGGCUAGGGUGAAGGAGGCAGUGGAGUUAGAUAAGGCUUUAUGUGAUUGUUUUGAGGAUGUUAGUGGUGAGGGUGGUAAGAAAGUUAUUGACUUGUUGGAUUCUUUAAUUAGGAACUGGUCUGAGUAAGAAGCAGAGUAGCUUCCUAUAUCAAAAGGGUAAAAUUUCCUUUGAUACAUGUGGAUAGGUGGUCAUGCUGCAUCUUGAGGUUUUACCUUAUAGAUGACGCAAUGAGUUUCUGAGACCACUCUCUAUCUCCGUCAAAUCUUUUUUGAGCAGGCUGUGCUUUGCCAUUCAGGAAUAUCAAGGCACCGAUUCUCUCUCUGUCAGUUUCUUUCUUAAGUUUUUGAUCCUUGUGAUGUUUGUUCCAACAAUACUGUGGAGCUAUCAUAUAGGAUUGAAGGAAGCAAACAUAUUGCCAUUUUAUUGGGAAUAGGAGAUGAUAGGAUGGUUAUUGAUGUGAUAUCAAUGUUUUAAGAUUAGGGAAAGCUCACAUACCAUUCUGACUCGAGUACAGAGUAUCUUCUUUUUCGGGGGUCUAGGACUUGUGUAUCAUCUGGAAGACUUUAAUCUAAUCCGUGCUACUUUCCUUGUAAACUUGCAGAUUCAAUUAUUCCUAUUUUACCCACUUUAGUUCCUCUUCUACAAUAGUUAUAUGUGGAGUUAGCAACAUUUUUGUGAAGGAUUUCUCCUUAAGUGCACAAAUGCUGCAAAAGAGAGAUCCUUGCCUAGCUGAUAAUUGUGUUAUGUUUUCCAGUCAAAUAUCCUCAGCAUAUCACCAUAGAAGACUUCAGGAGCUGUAUUUUUUUCCUUCUCUAUAUUCUUUUCACCAUAUUCCAAGGAAGAAUAACACGCCGAAGCGUCUGUUAGUUCUGUCUGAUCACUCUGGCAGAUGAGAAAUGGCCCAAAUGAUUUGUCAGCCCGGGGCAAGUUUGUAUCUGAUUGAAAGGCCCUGUAUUCCUAUUUUCUCACUGGCCUGAUCAAUUAGUUUGUUUAAACAACUAUUUCUUUUACAUGUUUAUUAUUAUUUAUUACAUUUUGGAAUGAUAUGUGUGUACUACUUACUAUCUGGGAGUAAAAGCGGUGCACAAUAUUUGCUGUCCUUCCGUGUCUCGUACACAACAGUAGCACUCUAUUUCGUGAGAAUGUUUGUGUUUGUGCUCAGAUUUGAACUAACAAUUGGUUGAGCUUCCAUUUCCUAAAUUUGCAGGAGCUAUUACUAAGGCAAGCAUUUGGUAGGAUCAUUCAAUACCUGUUCGAUAUCGUUUUCUUACAUUCAUAUUGCAGGAUUGGAUAAGUAAAUAAACAACGUUCGUUUCUGAAUUACAAAAUGAGACAAUUUUUGGAACUUCAUAAAUGCUUUUUAGAAUAUCAACUCAUCCAACUGCAUUCACUUGCCGAUGAACGAAAACUGAACACAAAUUUGACCGAGGGAUCACAGGAAAGACCAUGAAGUUGUAAAAAGAUGAAUGAUGAUUUCACAUGAGUUGAAAAAAUCAAGAAUGAUGCAUGACAU